rnacentral:miRNA from 1 species
UCGACCGUGUCUCUCUGUAGC